UACGAAGGGGGCUAGCGUUGCUCGGAAUCACUGGGCGUAAAGGGUGCGUAGGCGGGUCUUUUAAGUCAGGGGUGAAAUCCUGGAGCUCAACUCCAGAACUGCCUUUGAUACUGAAGAUCUUGAGUUCGGGAGAGGUGAGUGGAACUGCGAGUGUAGAGGUGAAAUUCGUAGAUAUUCGCAAGAACACCAGUGGCGAAGGCGGCUCACUGGCCCGAUACUGACGCUUGAGGCACGAAAGCGUGGGGAGCAAACAGG
rnacentral:rRNA from 1 species